UACGUAGGGGGCAAGCGUUAUCCGGAAUUACUGGGUGUAAAGGGAGAGUAGGCGGCAAGGUAAGCGAUAUGUGAAAGCCUUAGGCUUAACCUGAGGAUUGCAUAACGAACUAUCUAGCUAGAGUACAGGAGAGGAAAGCGGAAUUCCUAGUGUAGCGGUGAAAUGCGUAGAUAUUAGGAAGGACACCAGUGGCGAAGGCGGCUUUCUGGACUGAAACUGACGCUGAGGCUCGAAAGCGUGGGGAGCGAACAGG
rnacentral:rRNA from 1 species